GAACGAGUUGGAAAGCUCAGCCGGAGACUGUGAUAGCCAGGUAUGCGAAAACGACGCUGACCUUAUUCUGUAUUCUCGAGUAGGUCGGGGCACGAGAAACCCUGAUUGAAUCCGGCUGGACCACCAGCCAAGGCUAAAUAUAGUAUAUGAUCGAUAGUGAACUAGUACGGUGACGGAAAGGUGAAAAGAACCCCGGGAGGGGAGUGAAAUAGAACCUGAAAUUUUGUGCCUACAAGGAGUCGGAGCCCAGCACCUUUGAAAUCGAGUGGUACAAUGUAGGCGGAUGUUCUACGUGUACGUUUUGCAAAGUGAUCGGGAAUCAGAUCAAAUUUACUUCGGUCAGACUAGUGACUUAAGACGACGUCUCUCGGAGCAUAAUUCUGGCAAGGAUACUUAUACCAAGAUAUAUGCGCCAUGGAAGGUUGUCUACUAUGAAGCCUAUUUAUCACGUAAGCUAGCAAUGGCCCGUGAGAGGCAGUUGAAAGCUUAUGGACAAGCCAGGACUGCUCUGAAGAAGAGACUAAAUUUGAUCUGAUACUCGAUUUCAAAGGUGCUGGGUGACGGCGUGCUUUUUGUAGAACGAUCCAGCGAGUUAAUUUUUACGGCGAGGUUAAGUCAGAUGAUGAAGCCAUAGUGAAAGCGAGCAUUAACAGUGCGAUUUAGUCGUAAGGAUUAGACCCGAAACCAGGUGACCUAACCAUGAGCAGGUUGAAGCAACCUUAAUCGGUUGUGGAGGACCGAACCAGUGUAUGUUACAAAAUGCUUGGAUGACUUGUGGUUAGCGGUGAAAUGCCAAUCGAACUUGGAGAUAGCUGGUUCUCCGCGAAAUAGUUAUAGGACUAGCGUCGUGUGAUAGCUUACGGGGGUAGAGCUCUGUCAAGAGAUAGGGGGAGCAAUCCUACCUACUCUUAAUAAACUACGAAUACCGUAUGUCUGUAUCACGGCAGUUAGAACGUCGGUGCUAAGAUCGGCGCUCAAAAGGGAAACAGCCCAGACCAUCAUCUAAGGUCCCCAAAUUUACGCUAAGUGGGAAACAAGGUGGAAUUUCUUAAACAGCUAGGAUGUUGGCUUAGAAGCAGCCAUUCAUUUAAAGAGUGCGUAACAGCUCACUAGUCAAGAGAUUCUGCGUGGAAGAUAUAACGGGGCUAAGCGUAAUACCGAAGAUAUGGAUUGCAAUUUAUUGCAGUGGUAGCGGAGCGUUCCUAUCGGCAGUGAAGCCGGACUGUUAAGUACCGGUGGAGCGUUAGGAAGUGAGAAUGCUGGAACGAGUAACCAUAAGACAGGUGAGAAUCCUGUCGGCCGAAAGAGCGAGGUUUCCUGGGCUAUGGUAAUCAUCCCAGGGUUAGUCGGGCCUAAGCCGAGGCGUUUAGCGUAGGCGAUGGACAUCAGGUUAAUAUUCCUGAACUAGUCAAACUUUGUAUGCAGUUAGCGAUGAGAUAGGUGGAGCGGAUUCAUGGUUUAUCCGUUCAAGUGAUAGAGGAAUCUUGAUCGAGUAAAAGUGAACCUACGGGUUUACGAUUCCGCUGAAGGCAUUGACCAGAAAAGCUGGCAUACGCAUGGGUUUGGCUACCCGUACCGCAAACCGACACAGGUGCUCGAGUCGAGGAGACUAAGGCUUACGAGAGAAUGAUUGCUAAGGAACUCGGCAAUACAGCGACCGUAACUUCGGAAUAAGGUCUGCCUACAUUUGUAGGCCGCAGCUAAAGAGCCCACGGAACUGUUUAUCAAAAACUCAGGUCUCUGCUAACACGAAAGUGGAUGUAUAGGGGCUGAAACCUGCCCGGUGCCGGAAGGUUAAGGGGAUUGCUUCACGGUGAGAACUGAAGCCCCGGUGAACGGCGGCGGUAACUAUAACCGUCCUAAGGUAGCGAAAUUCCUUGUCAGGU
rnacentral:rRNA from 1 species